UACGGGGGGGGUAAGCGUUGUUCGGAAUUACUGGGCGUAAAGGGCUCGUAGGCGGCCAACUAAGUCGGACGUGAAAUCCCUCAGCUUAACUGGGGAACUGCGUCCGAUACUGGAAGGCUUGAAUCCGGGAGAGGGAUGCGGAAUUCCAGGUGUAGCGGUGAAAUGCGUAGAUAUCUGGAGGAGCACCGGUGGCGAAGGCGGCAUCCUGGACCGGCAUUGACGCUGAGGCGCGAAAGCCAGGGGAGCAAACGGG
rnacentral:rRNA from 1 species